AGGACGAACGCUGGCGGCGUGCUUAACACAUGCAAGUCGAGCGGAAAGGCCCUUCGGGGUACUCGAGCGGCGAACGGGUGAGUAACACGUGAGCAACCUGCCCUUAGCUCCGGGAUAGCUCCGGGAAACCGGAAUUAAUACCGGAUACGACCACGGCCGACAUCUGCUGUGGUGGAAAGGAUUCCGGCUAAGGAUGGGCUCGCGGCCUAUCAGCUAGUUGGUGGAGUAACGGCCCACCAAGGCGACGACGGGUAGCCGGCCUGAGAGGGCGACCGGCCACACUGGGACUGAGACACGGCCCAGACUCCUACGGGAGGCAGCAGUGGGGAAUAUUGCGCAAUGGGCGAAAGCCUGACGCAGCGACGCCGCGUGGGGGAUGAAGGCCUUCGGGUUGUAAACCCCGUUUCAGCAGGGACGAAGCGAAAGUGACGGUACCUGCAGAAGAAGCGCCGGCUAACUACGCGCCAGCAGCCGC
rnacentral:rRNA from 1 species